rnacentral:rRNA from 1 species
UACGGGGGGAGCAAGCGUUGUUCGGAUUUACUGGGCGUAAAGGGCGCGUAGGCGGUCGUGACAAGUCACUUGUGAAAUCUCCGGGCUUAACUCGGAACGGUCAAGUGAUACUGUCGGACUAGAGUCCGGUAGGGGAGCAUGGAAUUCCCGGUGUAGCGGUGAAAUGCGCAGAUAUCGGGAGGAACACCAGGGGCGAAGGCGGUGCUCUGGGCCGGAACUGACGCUGAGGAGCGAAAGCGUGGGUAGCAAACAGG